AAUAUAUUGUGUAUAUGCCACAUUUUAUUUAUCCAUUAUCUGUUUGCAGACACCUAAGCUGGUUUCAGAGGUUGACUAUUGUGCAUUGAGCCAUUAUAAACUUGGUUUUGCAUGUAUUAUUAUAGUAAGCUGACUUUAAUUCUUUGGGGUAAAUAUGAAGGAGUAUAGCUAGAAUAUAUAGUGUUUCCAUUUCUAGUUUUGGAGGCAACCUCCAUACUGAUUUCCAUAGUGAUUAUACUAAUUUACAAUCCCACCAACAAUGUAUAGGUGUUCCUUUUCCCCGACAGUCUCCCAGUCAUUUAUUUUUAUUUGUAUUCUUGAUGACUGCCAUUCUAACUGGAGAAGAAAUUUCAGUGUAGUUUUGAUUUGUGUUUUCCUAGUUGCUAAAGAUACUGAACAUUUUUUUCAUGUAUUUGUUGUAGGUCAUGACUCUUCUCAGGAUGAACUCAGGAUUCCAAGAAGGCAAGAACAGAAACCAUAUGAUCUCUUGAAGUUUAGGCUGAGAGCUCACCCAACAUCUUAUCUGCUGUACUGUAUUAGCCAAAUUAAGCUACAAGGCAAAUUCCUACUCAAGGAAGUAGGAAAAUAGUCAUAAUACAAAGUUGAGUAUGCAUACAAAUAUAGGAGGAAUUUAUGGCUGUUUUUCUAUUACUUACCACACUCCUUGCUAUAUUUGGAUAUGGUUUGUUCCCCAAAGGUUCGUGUGCUAUAAGCUUGGUCCCCUAUAUGUGAUAUUGAGGUGGUGGCACAGUAAGAGGUGGGGCCUAAUGGGAGGUAUCUAGAUCAUGGGUACUCUACCUUCAUGAAUGGACUAAGCUAUCUCCUGGGAGUGGAUCUGGUCUAAUGGGCCUAGAUUCGUUGUAAGAAUGAGUUUUUAUAAGGAAACCCCAUGCUUCCCAUGAGUCUCUCCUCUAUAUUGAGUGAUUUCCCUUUUUGCUUUUUUCUUCCUUGCCACUCUCACCAGAUGUGAAGCUGUUUGGACUUUUUAACAACUAAAAUAGUUAGGCAAAUAAAUUGUCUUUUUUAAAAGAAAGCACC
rnacentral:lncRNA from 1 species